rnacentral:tRNA from 4 species
GCUUGCUUAGCUCAGUUGGUUAGAGCGAUGGUCUAAUAAACCAUAGGUCGACGGUUCGAGUCCGUCAGUGAGCA